AUGUUAAUAUUUUUGUCUAAAUUUGAUUCCUCGAUUUUUUCUGCUGGCGGAAUGAGUAUAGAAAAAUUAAAAAAAAAAUAAUUAUAUAGUUCAUAAUCAGUCGCUGGAAUGAGCAGCUGACUUUGAGAACUAGUUUUCUUUGGAAGACAUUGUUCGGGUCAUAUAUACGUUUUGUUUCGAAACAAAGAGAAGAAAAUUUUGAAUAGUGAUAUAUGUUGUUUGUAUAUGAAUUUUAAUUUUGUGACAUGAAUUCAUCAUAGCCGAAAAACUGUGAGAAUGUACUUCAAUCAAGAUAAACAUGAGUGAAAAUGCGUGAUGAUAAACUUAGAUGAUAAACUGAGAGGAACUUUUAUGUGUACCGUCAUCGGGUAUGCUGUGUUCUGUUGGUAAGAGAUCCGUCGAUAUGACCUUAGGAGUGCUAAGGAGUUUUCCAACAUACCAGAAUCGAUUGGAGAAUAUAAGAAUAAACUGGCAGCCUUUACCAUACGAUUGCACAGGGACUUCAAAAAAUCUCGGGCUGGUAAUGUCGUUCACUUUUUAUCUGUUAUACAAGAAAUAAAAUAAAAUCUUCUGUAAUUUGUAAUCAUAACACCAGACUAGAGAUGUCACUUCAAUCAGGAACUUGGAAACAACGAAAAGAAUGUUCUGAGGCAGAUAAAUAUUUCCCCUAUUAUUUAUCAAUGAAAUAAUUUUUAUCUCUGAUUAUAUUAACAAAUUAUCUAACAAUGUAAUUUUAUAUAAUAAUCAGUAAUGCAUUACUGAUUAGACUUAACCUGUAUUUUCGGUUGUUACAGUAUCAGUCACCCCCGUUUUCUAACUUGACCCCCUCUACUAAAUUGAUUACAUCUCGACUCUCUACCCUCCGUGCUCUUUUAAUUGAAUUACAAAGUCAGAAUCAUCUAAUGUUAUGUGAACUUUGCGGCGCGGUCCUUUUUUUCUAUUUCUCU